rnacentral:rRNA from 1 species
CGCUGGCGGCGUGCUUAACACAUGCAAGUCGAACGGUGAACCAGAGCUUGCUCUGGGGAUCAGUGGCGAACGGGUGAGUAACACGUGGGCAACCUGCCCCAGACUCUGGGAUAACCUCGGGAAACCGAUGCUAAUACCGGAUACGACCACUUCGGACAUCCGACGGUGGUGGAAAGUUUUUCGGUCUGGGAUGGGCCCGCGGCCUAUCAGCUAGUUGGUGGGGUAAUGGCCUACCAAGGCGACGACGGGUAGCCGGCCUGAGAGGGCGACCGGCCACACUGGAACUGAGACACGGUCCAGACUCCUACGGGAGGCAGCAGUGAGGAAUAUUGCACAAUGGGCGAAAGCCUGAUGCAGCGACGCCGCGUGAGGGACGACGGCCUUCGGGUUGUAAACCUCUUUCAGCAGGGACGAAGCGAAAGUGACUGUACCUGCAGAAGAAGCACCGGCUAACUACGUG